CUGCACUUCAUAAGACUAAAAAUUUCCUGAAUAUAGAGUAUAUUGGACAAGUGUGAUGAGAAAUUUCCUUUAAACUUGCUUUAUACAUAUAUUCAACAACAACAAAAUGAGCCAGAUGACAUAGCACUCACCGUAGAACUCCAGCAUCAAGAAGCUGAGGGAGAAGAGCUGUACAGCUCAGCCCCAGAGAGGAAUUUGCAAAGAUGCUUGAACAUUGCCCAUGUGAGGACUGGGAGGUGGGACACUUGAAGAUGAAGCAUGAGACUGUGAGGAAAACAAGGGCUUUGCGAGUUAGCUCUGAAGCCUAAUGGUAACAUUAUGUGCUGCCUCUUUGGAGAGCAUUUGGUGAAAAAUAACUGGGAUGACUGGAGAUACACCAGGCCUGUGUGACACAGACAGAGUCAUCCUGAGGGACAGAAGCCAAUGCCGGCUGCCAGGAAGAUCAGAAGUAAAGCACCAGAUGUCCUUGGACUUUGUGCGACC